UUGUACUUCAAGUUGGUCUUUGUACUCCUAUAUAUAUGCCCACGAGGCUUAAGCAAUACAACAAACUAUUCCACCAAACCUCUCUCUCCCUUCUAGACUUGAUCUUGAAGCACCUUUUCAACUCUGAAUCUGUCAAGAGGCGUGAGUCGACUUCACCCAAUCCUCUCUGGACUCCGCCGCCGACAGGAUGAAUUCUAGAUCUUGCGAUCGCUCCAGCAUUGGUACUGUUGUUGAAGACAUCAAGUUUGCUUCUCAAAGCUUUGUUUCUGUGGUGUUCAAGCAUGUUCAUCGGCAAGCUAAUGUAGCGGCUCAUUUAUUAGCUAAAUCUUGUAAGAAUUUGUCUAGCUUUGCGAUUUUUCAUUCUGUUUCGGAUUAUAUCCGGGAGACUCUUUGUAACUUUGUUAAGUGAUCAAUAAAGCCGAUGUUU